AGUGAACGCUGGCGGUAGGCCUAACACAUGCAAGUCGAACGGCAGCACAGUAAGAGCUUGCUCUUACGGGUGGCGAGUGGCGGACGGGUGAGGAAUACAUCGGAAUCUACUUUUUCGUGGGGGAUAACGUAGGGAAACUUACGCUAAUACCGCAUACGACCUACGGGUGAAAGCAGGGGAUCUUCGGACCUUGCGCGAUUGAAUGAGCCGAUGUCGGAUUAGCUAGUUGGCGGGGUAAAGGCCCACCAAGGCGACGAUCCGUAGCUGGUCUGAGAGGAUGAUCAGCCACACUGGAACUGAGACACGGUCCAGACUCCUACGGGAGGCAGCCGUGGGGAAUAGUGGACAAUGGGCGCAAGCCUGAUCCAGCCAUGCCGCGUGGGUGAAGAAGGCCUUCGGGUUGUAAAGCCCUUCUGUUGGGAAAGAAAAGCAGCAGGUUAAUACCCCGCUGUUCUGACGGUACCCAAAGAAUAAGCACCGGCUAACUUCGUG
rnacentral:rRNA from 1 species